GAAAUGCGAAAAGCAAUGCGAAUUGCAGAACUCCGCGAGUCAUCAGAUCUUCGAACGCACCUAGCGCCGACCGGACAUCCGAUUGGCAUGUUUGUUUCAGUGUCUUGUUGAGACUCACAAAUCUCAAUGCGAUUGACAUGCUUGAGUGUAAAAGCUCGAACUGUGUCUCUCGUUAAGUAUGUGUUGCGUAUGCCACAUUGAUGCAGUAGUCACUCUUAUCGGUGAUACUCAUCAACGGAGCUAUCUAAACGCACAUUCAUAUAUACUAAUCUACCAUAUGCAUCUGAAACAAGCAAGAGAACCCGCUGAACUUAA
rnacentral:misc_RNA from 1 species